CCGCCUGUUUCCAGGUAGGCCAGCAAGAGCCUUUUCUUCUUCAGUCAUAAAAAUACUAGUGUCCAACUAAGAGGAGCAGCUUGAUUGGAGGAACAGAGUUAAUGCCCUAUGACUAGAGCCCAUGGAAUGAC